UACGAAGGGGGCUAGCGUUGCUCGGAAUCACUGGGCGUAAAGCGCACGUAGGCGGCUUUCUAAGUCAGGGGUGAAAUCCUGGAGCUCAACUCCAGAACUGCCUUUGAUACUGGGGAUCUUGAGUUCGGGAGAGGUGAGUGGAACUGCGAGUGUAGAGGUGAAAUUCGUAGAUAUUCGCAAGAACACCAGUGGCGAAGGCGGCUCACUGGCCCGAUACUGACGCUGAGGCACGAAAGCGUGGGGAGCAAACAGG
rnacentral:rRNA from 1 species